rnacentral:misc_RNA from 1 species
GUGAUUAAAUCUGAGGCGUGAGCUGGCGUAUUGACCUGCUGCACCCUUCUCACCAUCCUAUACACCUGUGCACUUUUGAAGGAGACCUAGUAGCCAGUUUCACUGUCGCAGGUAUAUCAUUUACACUACAUACUCUAAUGAUACUUAUGAAUGUAAACGUUUAAUAAGCAUAAUA